UAAACGAGAAGGCUCCAAUGUGACCCUCCUGCUUUAUCAGGCAUGGCAAUGAAGCAGACGAAAUGAUGAGCAAAGUUCCGGCCUCCGAUCCGGAAGGAAGACAAGUCGCUCUGUAAUAUCACUGACUUCCUGCAAAGCCGCGUAAAGACUGCUAUGAGCUGCUAAAUUACUUAUAUAAAGACAUAAACUGCUAUUGUAUAAGAAACCCUGUUCGUAACAAAAUAAAUUUUGUUUUAUUUCUUAUAAA